ACGCACGACUAUCAGGUCAAGAUGCGCAACGUCUUCAAGUUUCUGGAAAACGGCGACAAGGUAAAGGUCACCCUGCGUUUUCGCGGUCGGGAAAUGGCGCACCAGAACCUGGGCCGCGAACUGCUGGAACGCGUUGCCGAAGACGUCAAGGAAAUCGGCCGGGUCGAGAACAUGCCCAAGAUGGAAGGCCGGCAGAUGAUCAUGAUGAUCGGCCCCCUGCCGCAAAAGUGAUCUGACACCGACCGGCUCUUGCCCGGCGAUAGCCCAUGCGCCCCUGAGUCGUCCGACUCAGG
rnacentral:misc_RNA from 1 species